AACGAACGCUGGCGGCAUGCCUAACACAUGCAAGUCGAACGAGACCUUCGGGUCUAGUGGCGCACGGGUGCGUAACGCGUGGGAACCUGCCCUUAGGUUCGGAAUAACUCCCCGAAAGGGGUGCUAAUACCGGAUAAUGUCUUCGGACCAAAGAUUUAUCGCCUUUGGAUGGGCCCGCGUUGGAUUAGCUAGUUGGUAGGGUAAAAGCCUACCAAGGCGACGAUCCAUAGCUGGUCUGAGAGGAUGAUCAGCCACACUGGGACUGAGACACGGCCCAGACUCCUACGGGAGGAAGCAGUGGGGAAUAUUAGACAAUGGGCGAAAGCCUGAUCCAGCAAUGCCGCAUGAGUGAUGAAGGCCUUAGGGUUGUAAAGCUCUUUUACCCGGGAUGAUAAUGACAGUACCGGGAGAAUAAGCUCCGGCUAACUCCGUG
rnacentral:rRNA from 1 species